GACGAAGGGUGUGGGAGCUCGGGCCCACGUGGCCGCCGCGGUGCUGCAAGGGUUGCGUGCAGCGGGACGUGGGUGAGCGCUUGAGGGGUACCCCGUGCAGCUUCGCGAAAACGCCGGGGUCUGUCGUUCUUGAGUUAACCAGGUCAGUUUGGAGUCCCCGGACGGCCGACGUAGAGAACUGUUGGCAGAAUCCUUCUUUGCACCUCUGCUAAAUACUUAUUUUUUGAAAACCAGGUCAAGCCCCAAGACUGAAUCACGAAUUUCCUUAUUAAGUCUCCGUUCUGCAGACUCCAAUUAAGCAUCUACUGAGGGCUAGGCGCUGGAGAUUAGGACAAGAUUGGGCUGAGGAGCUCCAGCUGGAUCUGUCCCAGUUCAUGCCAAGAAGAUUCCCACAGAGCCUGGAAGCUUCGGAGAAGCUGUGUCCCCAGGCUCCAGUUUCUGAUCGUCCACCCUCAGCUCCCAGAGUGCUGGGGUUACAUCGUGUACCGCCAAGCACCUAAUUUACAGCUGCAUGCGUGGAGGAGGCAGAGUUCAAAGUGAACCCAGUCUGCUUCACUCCCGGCCAUGCUCUUGGCUCUCUCCUACACCUCUGGGUGCUGCUGAUGAAGAGAAAUUCUGUGCAAACCCCUGAGCACAGACCCCCGUGGGCCUUCCCCUGUCACUGGGGGCCCAGUCAGGGAGACCCAUGGGCUGAGUGGCUUUGAGGGUCAGGGACCACCUUGCUCCAUGGGGGGUCUAUGUGUGCACUGUAGGGGCAGGCCAGGCAGAGACAGGGUUCCCAGAUGCGAGGCCUUCUGUGGGCCAAGCAGGGAGCAUCCCUUCACCCCCGAGGCCUUUGCUGUCACUGGUCUAGCAAGCCGUCCCUGUCCGCUGGCUCUUGGCUCAUUUUGUCUUGAUUCCCUGUCUGUCACCUGGACACAGACCAACCCCCACCACUGGCUGGGAGUCUCUGCGCCCAGCCUACCUGAAAAGACACCCCCAGGUGGCUGUGUGCCGGGAGGGGUGGGGCAGAAGGCAGCAAGGGGUGGCUGAUGUAGUAUCAGCCCGAUCCUCUGAGGUGUUUGCUUUCACUGGUGGGAAGGACCCAGAUCUUUGUGUUAAAAAAAGGCCUGGUUCAAGGCCUACCCCUGCUAGUUGCUGUUCACCCAGCCUAGAGACCACUGUGGUUAUUUGGUUAUUUUUUGUAAAAAAAACUGACAAAUCCUUCACCUCUCUUUCAGGGCGGAAAAGGGUUCAUGCUGCUGUGGGCAGUGGAGGACGGCGGCAGCGUUGUGCUGAGCCUUCUGGACUGGGCCAGGAAGGAGCCAUGCAGCUUCUGCCUCAUUCACCUGGACACCAGCAGUCCCAGUCCUGGCCAGCCAGGGACGAAGGGCUUCUACCCAAGAACAGGGCAGGGAGGGCUGUAGGCAGGAACCAAGCCCAGGGUGCCUGCAGUGUCCCAGCCUGGCCGCAGCAGGGGAGGGAGGGAGGAGGCCACCUCAGGACAGAGUGCACUGGCCCACACGUCCCCAAGAGGUCACAGCCACCUGCCGCCCGGCCUGCCUGUCUGACCCUCAGGUGGCCCUGCACUUGGGGCUGGUUUAUCAUGCAGUGGCAGCAAAGCAGCCUCUGGAACCCUCCAGGAUGAAUUAGGAAGUCAGACAGGCAGAUCCUCCAGCCUGCAGGAUGCCCUGAGAUGCCCACCAGCGAAGCCCCUUGCCCUAAGUGGGCCCCGGGCACAGCCCAGGCUGGUUGCCAGCUCCAGCUCUGCACCAAUAGUGCAGGAGCCCUGCACCCUGCUGGACACCACCAGUAGGAGAGAAGACCUUUGCAGACACACAGGACCUCCUGCAACCAGAUCCGGGAGCCAGGCCUCACCCACGCUGCAUCUGGAUGCAGUCAUCAGAGCACAUAAAAGCACUUGUAGCAUACA